rnacentral:tRNA from 1 species
GGAAGCGCAGGGGGUCCGGUGACUCUCCCGGUCUUCAAAACCGGCGGACGGCGGUGAACCCGUCGUUGGUGGGUUCGACUCCCACUCGCUUCCGCCA